CACGGGGGGAGCAAGCGUUGUUCGGAUUUACUGGGCGUAAAGGGCGCGUAGGCGGCCACCGCAAGUCAGUUGUGAAAUCUCUGGGCUUAACCCAGAAAGGUCAACUGAUACUGCGGGGCUAGAGUGCAGAAGGGGCAACUGGAAUUCUCGGUGUAGCGGUGAAAUGCGUAGAUAUCGAGAGGAACACCUGCGGCGAAGGCGGGUUGCUGGGCUGACACUGACGCUGAUGCGCGAAAGCUAGGGGAGCGAACGGG
rnacentral:rRNA from 1 species